rnacentral:lncRNA from 1 species
AGUCAGUGCUGUUUGGGAAGCCGCAGCUCGGUCUUCGGCCUCCACGUGCUGUGUCUGCUGAGUGAUGUGUCCCCUGAGGUGCCUCUACUUAUAGAUCAGUGACCCUGGCCACAUCUAGCUUAACAGGUACAGCAUUCUUCCCUGUGGGAAAGAACUAUAUACAUAACUAUCAUCCCAAGACAGAAUUUGCAGUCCUUUCUCAGAUUCCAUGUGGCGGGGUGACAGAUAACUCAGUGUCUUUUGGUUGACUCUGGACGGUAAUACCUGAACUGUAUGGACUUGACUUUACGGUUCCUCUUGGGAGAAUACAGCGUGGUGGUUUCUGUUCAAAUUAAAAGACAGGAUGUGGGCCUGCCUGCCUUUUCAUGUCUUUGGCUCUUAGGCUCAUCCUGUGACAGACGAGUCUGUGUUAAGGGGAUACUGCUGCGCAUGGGCGGGUGGGGCCUCCUUGGUGUGCAGAUGUCAUCCCUGCACUGAUUACGCUUGACAAGUGGUUAUGAAGAUGACAGCGAACCGCCGCUCCGCUCCCCGGAGUGGUGAUACAGGUCAGUAACCAUGCGCUCCACCUCGAUCCACGUCAGGUGGCUUUAAUGUAAUUUUUCACGGGAAAGUUGGGAUAGGACCACCACCUUAAAAUGAGUGAGGAGGUUGAUGUUUUCAGUUGCCAUGACUUUUUUUUAAAUGGAAAGAGGCGGGGCAGUUGUAAAGGUGUUUGAUAUCUGGACUUGAUGGACUUAACCAGCAUUUACAGAAGGGAUUUAAUGCUAUUUAAGAAAGGAAGACUUAUUAAAUCAACUGAAAGUUCUUCACACAUGGAAAUGACUGAUGUUAAUUAUUUUGCAACAUUUCUUUGUAAAUAUCAUUUACAAACAAUUUUUUGAGAUUCACCUCCCUUUCCUGCAUUAAUGCUUGGGUCAGGUAAUUUUACUUUUGGGUAAAUUAAAAUCAAAACUAAAACUUGA